rnacentral:rRNA from 1 species
CCCGCUGAACUUAAGCAUAUCAAUAAGCGGAGGAAAAGAAACUAACAAGGAUUCCCCUAGUAACUGCGAGUGAAGCGGGAAAAGCUCAAACUUAAAAUCUGUCAGUCUUUGGCUGAUCGAGUUGUAAUCUAGAGAAGUGUUAUCCGCGCUGGACCGUGUACAAGUCUCCUGGAAUGGAGCGUCAUAGAGGGUGAGAAUCCCGUCUUUGACACGGACUGCCAGGGCUUUGUGAUGCGCUCUCAAAGAGUCGAGUUGCUUGGGAAUGCAGCUCAAAAUGGGUGGUAAAUUCCAUCUAAAGCUAAAUAUUGGCGAGAGACCGAUAGCGAACAAGUACCGUGAGGGAAAGAUGAAAAGAACUUUGGAAAGAGAGUUAAACAGUACGUGAAAUUGCUGAAAGGGAAACGCUUGAAGUCAGUCGCGUUGUCCAGGAAUCAACCUUGCUUUUGCUUGGUGUACUUUCUGUUUGACGGGUCAGCAUCAAUUUUGAUCAUUGGAAAAAGAUUAGGGGAAUGUGGCAUCUUUGGAUGUGUUAUAGCCCUUGGUUGCAUACAAUGGUUGGGAUUGAGGAACUCAGCACGCCGCAAGGCCGGGUUUUUAACCACGUACGUGCUUAGGAUGCUGGCAUAAUGGCUUUAAUCGACCCGUCUUGAAACACGG